CUUCUGCAUCAUUCUCCAUCUCUCGCAUAUGCUCAUCUUUUCUCUCUCCUCUUCCUCUCUCCUCUUUUGUGAUUGCAAUCAAAUUUUCUCCAUAUGAAACCUAAUUUCACAAGCAAGCAUCAUCUAAGAUCUAAGGUUUGUUUUUCUGAGAUCGAUUGGAAAUUGAGUGGGUUCGUUUUUCUCCUCUUCUUCACGCCUCUCUUCUAAUGCGUCAAUGUUCCCCACAAAUUUUCACUGGGUUUCGGAACAAAGGCGGCAUAAGAAUUGAGAACUUUUACUGUUGAUUACGGAUUUCAAAUAGGAAGAACAAGAAAAAUCGAUAAUGCUGUCAACCAGUUUGAGUCUUCAAUGGAAGGAGUCAAGCUAUAAAGUUGUGAUCUUUGAUCUACCCUCAAUGAUUUCUUCAAAUGGGGUUUCUUUGAUGUAGUUGAUGACUCACUGAAGCAGACUUUUCAGAACUCUCCUCUGAUGGUGGGCUACAAGCAGUAGCACAACGCUCUCUUAGUGACGUUGAGAUUGAGCUAUGAGAGAUGAGGCUGAGUUUGUUGAUGGAGAUUGAAAAGAGGAAGCUAGCAGAAGAAGCUCUACAGAGCAUGCAACAACAGUGGCAAAUUCUGCGAGAGAAGUUAGGGGCUGUUGGAUUGGUACUUCCAACAGAUCUCACUACUUUAGUGGAGGAAAUUGGUUACCGUCUAUUUUUUCAAAUUCAAGUUCUAAUCCAUAAUAUUUGAUAAUUUACAGCUUUUAUACAUCGAUCUGAUUGAUUAGGCGUUCUAUGUGUGGUUUAAUUUGUUCUUGCAAUGUCUUGAGUUAUUAUUAUUAUUAUUAUUUUUAUUAUUAUUAUUAUUGCUAUUAUUAUUAUUAUUACUAUUAUUAUUAAUAUUAUUAUUAUUAUUGUUGUUGUUGUUAUUAAGGUGCCCAUAGCAUACAUUAUUGUUGCUGCCAUUAUCGUUCAGAUUUCUUUGUUUAUUUAUGUCUAAUUUAGUUUUAAAAGCUGCCCUUUUUUUAUUAAAUGGGUUUUUGUUUUGAUGAAAUCAGACACGCAUUUGGAGUAAGGCGCGCUUGAUCUGUUUGUCAGAUCUUUUUCCUUGUAUAUAUGUAUAUGAAUGCCCUUCUCUGCCUUUUAUCUUCCAAAUCUAGAGGAUAUGAUAUGUACCUGCCACAUCAAUUUGACUCAAUUCAGUAAUUUUAAUUCUAGCAAGGUGAUUUGUCCAUUUAUUAAGCAAUAUAGAGCAUAAAAGUGGAACGGUCUUCACGUGUUAAUCUGUUCUCUUGACAGUAGGUGUUGGACAUCGAUCUAUCUUGGAGGAUGCACAAUGUAUCCGAUUGUCAGAGAAGAAAAGCGCAAAUCUGUAUGGGCCUCCUGAAGCCAUUCAAGGUAUCCGUUGCCGUUGCUCAAAGUUCAGAGUUAGCCUUGGGUGCUACCUUGAAUAUCUUAUUAUCAGCUGAGUUAAACCCUUGUCCUGUUUUUCUGGGUUCUUCUGCUUGAUGAGAUCACUGUUGACCUUGAUGUCUUGGCAAGAGCUGACCUUCUCAAGUUUCUAAAGAAGGAAUGUGAUGAGAGGGGUGCUACAAUCAUCUAUGCAACACAUAUAUUGGAUGGGCUCGAGAACUGGCCAACACAUAUUGUGCACGUAGCCUAGGUUACGCUACAAUUAGCAAUGCCCAUGGACAAACUUAAGGAUAUAUCAAAUAUGUCACUAAUGAGAACUGUGUAGUUUGGGAGAUGAACAAAGAUCAGCCUUUUGAUCCUCUCGAUUUCUUCAUCUGGACUAUUGAGGUGUAGCUUAUUUUGAAUUUUUUCCAAUAUGCUUUUGAGCUCCUCUUUGCUUGCUGUCCUCAUUCCGCUGAUUUAUUAAACCCUCCAACAGGUCGCACAAAUUAUAUGUUGUAAGAUCCUUUCUCUAAGCAAGAGGGCUUUGACAAGAUGUACUUCUCUUAAAGAAGGAUUUUCUCUGCAUCUCAUGUCAAGUACUAUAGCUGGUGUUACAAGCACUCAGGUCACGGCUCCCAUGGAUAUGGUCAAAACGCGUCUAAUGUUGCAAAGGGGAUCAAGUGGCAGGAACUAUAAGAAUGGAUUUCAUUGUGCAUAUCAGGGAUUGUUUAGUAGGGAAAAAAAUCACUACUUUCACCCUUUGCUCGUAUUAUAGGUCUUCCCUUUUCUUUUCGCCUCUUUUUUUGGACCAACAAUGUUCGUGGCUAACUUAAUGCUGCUUGACGCAUCGUCACUUCAAUUGAGCAGGAAGAAGACGGCCACAAGAAUAUUUGUGUAUAUAGAAGUCUUGAACAUCUUUUUCUUUGGGUGGGUCCAUGUAUUGUAUUUUAUGGCUUGUAGCUAAACAAGUAGGAGUCUAUCUGCUACUUGUAAGCAUGCAAGUAUCUCGAUAUGUUUGCUUCUUAUUGGACAAUGAUUUUGUUCUUAAUUUUUUUUCAUUUUAGAUGGUAUAAUGUACUUUGGUUAAGCAUAGUUUGUUAUACUUCAUCUUUAGAUGUCUGAAUAUGUAACUUAUUAAGACAUAUAUUUGAAAUUCAAGAAGCAAGCUUUUCGUUUUCUA